rnacentral:rRNA from 1 species
UACGUAGGUGGCGAGCGUUGUCCGGAUUUACUGGGCGUAAAGGGCGUGCAGGCGGUCUGUUAAGUCUAGGGUGAAAGCUCCCGGCUCAACUGGGAGAGGUCCUUGGAUACUGGCGGACUUGAGGGAGGCAGAGGAGAAUGGAAUUCCCGGUGUAGUGGUGAUAUGCGUAGAUAUCGGGAGGAACACCAGUGGCGAAGGCGGUUCUCUGGGCCUUACCUGACGCUGAGACGCGAAAGCGUGGGGAGCAAACAGG